rnacentral:rRNA from 1 species
UACGAAGGGGGCUAGCGUUGCCCGGAAUCACUGGGCGUAAAGCGCACGUAGGCGGUCUUUUAAGUCAGGGGUGAAAUCCUGGAGCUCAACUCCAGAACUGCCUUUGAUACUGAGAGACUUGAGUCCGGGAGAGGUGAGUGGAACUGCGAGUGUAGAGGUGAAAUUCGUAGAUAUUCGCAAGAACACCAGUGGCGAAGGCGGCUCACUGGCCCGGUACUGACGCUGAGGUGCGAAAGCGUGGGGAGCAAACAGG